rnacentral:lncRNA from 1 species
GCAUGCAUCUUUUCAAUGAUUCCCAAAAUAAGCAUUGAUCCUGUAUAAUUGUCUGUUUUUUGGACUUAUUUUAACACUUAACAGGGGACACAGGCAUCACUGAAACAGUGAAACUUGGUGGCACUGUAUUGGAUGAGGUUACUGACUGGAUUAGAUUCCCAGUGGCUUACUUAUUCCACUUAUUUGAAGGUACCUACAUUACAGAAAUAAUUGGCUGUUGUUGUUUUGCAGGCUGACAGGCAAUCAAAGACUCAUGAUGUGCUCCAACUCAAGAAAAUAUUUCAAUCAACAUUUGAAAUUCCCAAAUGAGAAAGAAAUGAGUCGUAUUCGAGCAUGUCAGUAAAACAUGAUUUUAGCUGCUCACUGACUUCUGUUUAAUGCUUUACAUGCUGCAUAGAUAUCCUGGAUGUAGCAAUCAUCUAUCCAGCAGACAUUGCCAGUGAAGCAGCUCUGCAAAUUUUAAGUGGGAUCAAGACCAUUUCUUCAACCAUAUUCGGGAACCUUGAAGCUUGGUUUCCCAAAAUGAGCACUGAUCCUGCGGAGCUGGCUGAAAUAGUUGUAGAGGAGGCCGCAGAAGUAAAGACCACCGUUUCUAAUUACCUAUCCAGUCUGUUUGCAGCGGAUGAAGGUGGUAUUCCUGACCUUAGCUUUGAUCCCAUGAAAGUUGUCACAGACACUGUUGAGGAGUUUGAUGACAGGAGGGAUAUGUUCUUGGCUUAUCUCUCAAACAUGCUCAUGGAAGACAAAGAUGACACACCGCAAGUGAUAAGACGUAAAGGAGAAUUUCUGCCCCCUAUGGAAAAAGGUUAGUAAAUGCACAUUAUUUAAUUUACAUAAACGCUCUAUAUUAACACAAAACUAACACUAGUACUCAAACCUCAAGCAUUUAUAAUGCAAGAUCUUGAAUUGACUAAAAUUAUAGUUUUCUGCUUCGUUGUCAUCCCAUGCCUAUUGCACAGUUAUGUUGUGUCUUACCCUGUUUCAGUCCAUUUGGUAAUUAGUACAUUUAGAAAACAGUGAUAGAGGUUAUGUAAUACGGUGCAUGAAAAGGACCUGCAUGACUGCAUAAGGGAUGAUUGUCAUUUAUAUUUUCUGUCUGUACUAUAGUGUUAAUUUUAAUGUCCUGCACUCUCUAUCUCACACAGUACUCCCAUGAUUCUUCACAUUAUGUAAAAAUGUGUGUGUUUAAUUUCUCUAGAAUGGUUUAAAAGAAGGUG